rnacentral:rRNA from 1 species
GUGGGGAAUUGUUCGCAAUGGGCGCAAGCCUGACGACGCAACGCCGCGUGGAGGAUGAAGAUUUUCGGAUCGUAAACUCCUGUCGAAUGGGACGAAUGGCCUGGCCGUGAACAACGGCCGGGAAUGACGGUACCGUGAGAGGAAGCCCCGGCUAACUCCGUGCCAGCAGCCGCGGUAAUACGGGGGGGGCAAGCGUUGUUCGGAAUUACUGGGCGUAAAGGGCUCGUAGGUGGCCACCUAAGUCCGACGUGAAAUCCCUCGGCUCAACCGGGGAACUGCGUCGGAUACUGGGUGGCUUGAAUCCGGGAGAGGGACGUGGAAUUCCAGGUGUAGCGGUGAAAUGCGUAGAUAUCUGGAGGAACACCGGUGGCGAAGGCGGCGUCCUGGACCGGUAUUGACACUGAGGAGCGAAAGCCAGGGGAGCAAACGGGAUUAGAUACCCCAGUAGUCC